GCCGGGAUGGCGGAAUUGGUAGACGCACCGGAUUCAAAAUCCGGCGAUGGAAACAUCGUGAGAGUUCAAGUCUCUCUCUCGGCACCA
rnacentral:tRNA from 1 species